rnacentral:rRNA from 1 species
ACGCACGCUGGCGGCAUGCCUAACACAUGCAAGUCGAACGAGACCUUCGGGUCUAGUGGCGCACGGGUGCGUAACGCGUGGGAACCUGCCCUUAGGUUCGGAAUAACUCCCCGAAAGGGGUGCUAAUACCGGGUAAUGUCUUCGGACCAAAGAUUUAUCGCCUUUGGAUGGGCCCGCGUUGGAUUAGCUAGUUGGUAGGGUAAAAGCCUACCAAGGCGACGAUCCAUAGCUGGUCUGAGAGGAUGAUCAGCCACACUGGGACUGAGACACGGCCCAGACUCCUACGGGAGGCAGCAGUGGGGAAUAUUGGACAAUGGGCGAAAGCCUGAUCCAGCAAUGCCGCGUGAGUGAUGAAGGCCUUAGGGUUGUAAAGCUCUUUUACCCGGGAUGAUAAUGACAGUACCGGGAGAAUAAGCUCCGGCUAACUCCGUG